rnacentral:rRNA from 1 species
UGCCAGCCGCCGCGGUAAUACGUAGGGGGCAAGCGUUAUCCGGAAUUACUGGGUGUAAAGGGUGCGUAGGCGGUUUUCUAAGUCAGAUGUGAAAGCCCGGAGCUCAACUCCGGGACUGCAUUUGAAACUGGGAAACUAGAAUACAGGAGAGGUAAGUGGAAUUCCUAGUGUAGCGGUGAAAUGCGUAGAUAUUAGGAGGAACACCAGUGGCGAAGGCGACUUACUGGACUGUUAUUGACGCUGAGGCACGAAAGCGUGGGGAGCGAACAGGAUUAGAUA